rnacentral:rRNA from 1 species
CGACUCGCCGAAUGAGUUUCUGACCUAUCAACUCGAGACGGCGGGGUAGAGGCCCGCCGCGGUAACGACGGGUAACGGGGGAAUCAGGGUUCGAUUCCGGAGAGGGAGCCCGAGAAACGGCUACCACUUCCAAGGAAGGCAGCAGGCGCGCAACUUACCCUAAUCUCGAUUCGAGGAGGUAGUGACAAGAAAUACCGAUGCGGGGACCCCUACGGGGUGCCGCGUUCGGAAUGAGUACGAUUCGAACCACCUAACGAGGAACGAUCGGAGGGCAAGUCUGGUGCCAGCAGCCGCGGUAAUUCCAGCUCCAAUAGCGUACGUUAAAGUUGCUGCAGUUAAAAAGCUCGUAGUUGAACGUUCGGGUUCCGCGGGACGGGGCCGCCCCGCGAGGGACGGCGCCGCCCCGGGGCUCGUGAUAUCUCAUCUCGCCGCCCGUCGCGAGGCGGACGGAGGGAUGGAUGAGGUUACCUGGAAAAAAUCGGGGC